AUUGCACUGAUUUCUAUGAACUCAAUGAGUGCACAGGUAGUUUCCUCGGUAUGGAACUAUGGAAUGACCAAAACCCACCAAAUCCCCAUUGACCACCUUGAGUACAGUUUUCUAGAGAACUGUUCAGAUAUCAAACAUCUGGAAAAAAUUUUGUGGCUUCUCAGGUCUGGUGAAGAAAGAAAUUACCCAGAGCUAACAGCGUUUUGCGAGGAGCGGCUUUGGAAUUUAGCUCCGCAGAGUCGUGCUUUGCGGAAAGACAAACCCCCUGCCACUGCUGCUGACUUCUUAUUAGAAGACUGAAUGAAUAUUGAUAACGAUUUAAAGGAAUGGUUAUGGAUAUAAAAAUGAAAGAGCAAAAUGAAUCGGUUAUUCAGCCUGACACAGAAAAUCUUCCAUCUGUACGGAGUUACUCUAGUCUACCCACUGACAUAAAGCAGAAAGAAAAAGAGAAAAAAGGCGUAAGUAAAAAAGUCCCACAAGACUAUAGAGCCUGGGACAGAUUUGAUGUGGAGAAAGAAUUGUAGAUGAUGCUGAGAAGCAGGAACAAUCAAAAACAAUACAUUCUAAAACAUCAGCGAUUAAGAAGGCAAUAGAUACAGCAAGUUUGAGCCCAAGUCAAAGAAGACUUAUUGCAGAUAAUGAGAAGGAAAAGGGAAAUGAAGCUUUCAGAUCUGGGGACUACCAGGAAGCUAUAACAUAUUAUAGCAGGAGCCUUUCUGUCUUGCCCUCAGCUGCAGCAUUUAACAACAGAGCACAAGCGGAGGUCAAGCUGAAUAAUUGGCGGAACGCACUGAAUGACUGUGAGAGGGUGCUGGAGUUAGAUCCUGGAAACACAAAAGCAUUUUUACGAAGGGCCAUAAGCCACAAGAACCUGUCCAAUUACCAUGCAGCAGCAACUGAUUUGAGGAGAGUUUUACAUCAGGAACCAGACAACCCAGUUGCUAAGAAAGCUUUUGCUGAAGUUGACGAGUUGCUGCAGAAGGCAGAGGAAGAAAUUCAGAGCAAGGAAGGAAAAUUGUUAUUGAGGACAUAGAGGGGUCAGAUGAAGAAAAUGAGAGAACUUCCAAAUCUGAGAAAGAAGCCGGUGAGUCAGUGGGAGGAGAGGCAGUAGGGGAGCAGAGUGACAUGGGGAAUGCACACGAUAAACCCUUUCCCAAGAAAAACGGCCCUGGGAGCGAGGAAUGUCGGGCUCCUGGUCACACGCAGAAUGGAGUGAAGAAAGACUGCGGCAAUGGACAGCAGCCAAGGAAUCCAUGUGAAGAGAAGGACAGAAUGAAGCCAACCCCUGGCACCGACAACACAUGGAAGAGAAGCAGUAAGGAAGUGAAGCCAUCAUCAGAGCCCCUUCCCUCAGCUGCACGGCUAAAGUCAGAAGGCAACCAGCUGUUUAAGAACGGGCAGUUUGCUGAGGCUGCACUCAAGUAUUCACAAGCCAUUGAAAAUGUUAAGAACACACGAUCAGAGAAUGCGGAGGAACUGGCCAUCUUGCAUUCUAACAGAGCCGCUUGCCACUUGAAGGAUGGCAAUAGCAGGGAGUGUAUUGAAGAUUGCAACAGGGCAUUGGAGCUGCAGCCAUUCUCAGUGAAGCCACUUUUACGCCGGGCGAUGGCCAACGAGUCCCUGGAGAGAUACAGGCCAGCGUAUGUGGAUUAUAAAACUGCCUUGCAAAUUGACAGUUCCAUCCAGGCGGCACAUGAUAGCAUCAACAGGAUUACAAAAACGUUAAUAGAGCAAGAUGGGCCCAGCUGGAGAGAGAAACUGCCCCCGAUUCCCACUGUACCAGUCUCUGUUCACUUACAACAACAUGGAGGAGGGGACCCUGCUUACAGUAGCAGCCAGACCACGAAUCCCGUGGAACAUGGUAAAUCGCCCGAGGAGACGUUGCAGGCUCUGAAAACCGAAGGCAAUGAGCAUGUGAAGAAAGGACAGUACAGAGAGGCUGAGAAGAAGUAUAGUGAAUGCUUGAAGAUAAAUGCAGAAGAAUGUACCUUGUACACAAAUAGGGCCCUGUGUUACUUGAAACUGAGUGAGUACGACGAGGCCAGGAACGACUGUGAAUGUGCUCUGCAGAGGGACGCUUUAAAUAUCAAAGCCUUGUACAGACGAGCACAGGCCUACAAAGGAUUAGAGGAUUAUCAGUCGUGUGCUAAUGAUCUCCGAAAAGUCAUCUCUGUGGAUGCUAGUAUUGCAGAAGCGAAGAAACUACUGGAUGAAAUUGCUCCCUUUCUUACUGCAGCUGAUGGUCUUGUAAAGGGGCAGGAAAAACAAAGAAAGAAGAUCCUAAUAGAGGAGGUAUGUUACUCCAGCAGUUGUAGAUCCAAUGCCUAUGAGUUUGGACAGCAGUUAAAUGAGAUCAAAUCAAGGAAAGAUGAGACUGCCUGUGCCGAUCUCUUGUCUGUCACAGAACCAAAGGACCUGCCUGUGCUUAUGAGCAACAAGUUAGAGGAAGACAGUCUCCUGCUGAUUGUACGGUCAAUGAAACGCUGUCUUCUUCCCACGGAACCCGAUCUGGUGUAUCAGCACCUUUCUCACCUGAGCAAAGCAGAAAGGUUUCAGAUCGUGGUCAUGCUAUUGAGCAAGAGUGAAAAGGAUGAAUUUCGGGAUCUCUUUGAUUCCCUCGCACAGAACCAGAACGGGGAGACAGAGCGGGAGGCCGUCCUGAGCCUCGCAAGGGAAUAUGAACUUUAAUUCUGUGUUCAUGGAACACGCCGAAUCUCUAUGCACGGUUCCACUGCAAUAGGAAAGGCUGAACUAUAUUCAAUAUGCAAUAUUCACGCACGAAUGUUCUUUAAUAGAUCCCCUAUGCAAUUUCCAUCCAGUGACAACACACUGUACUUGUCAGCAACAUUAUAUACCAAACCUGAAAAGAGUAGCGCUCCAUUGAAUCCCAGAGAAGAAAGCAGGUAAGGGUUUAGCCUCAGUCGUUUAUAUUUCUGCAGCAGGGAUUUCAUUAGGGCAAGUAAAUUGUCUUAUUGACUGUACAGCUUUCUUCAGAGGCUCCUGAAUACUUCAAUCAAUAGCUCUGAAUGUUUCAUUGCACAUUUGCUCCCUUGUACAGUUGGGGGUGGGGAAACGCUGGCUUUGGCCAGACAUGGGGCACCAACCUGCUCUCAUUUGUUAUAAUAUUUAUUCUAAUUCCGUCACUGGUUUCAUUUAGACAUAAAGGAAUCACAGGUACUGAGCAAACGGGACAAGACACGGGUAUUUGUUUCCUAUGGGGGCCCCUGUGGGAGCACAGCCAGUAGCUUUUGCUUUCUUUUCCCACCAUUCACUAUCCCUGUACAUAACCAGGGGAAGCCGCACCUACUGUGUGUACUUACUUAUUAUUAAUUAUUAUUAUUUAUAGUAUUACAGAGAAUACAUCCCUGCUGGUUUGUUAGUAGACAUGAUGCUGUAAUAUUCGCUGUAUAUAUUUCUGCUUGACCAAAUAAUGAUCUUUAUAUUUAAAUACAUAUUUUAUUU